UCAUCUGAUGAGACACAUCCUAAAUGUUUACUUAUUUCUGGUACCUCUUGUUUUAGCGGUGCAUUGACUUACGUCGGUGUUGCCUCGAUGUACAAACUGGACUUCUGAUU
rnacentral:snoRNA from 1 species